UACGUAGGGGGCUAGCGUUGUCCGGAUUUAUUGGGCGUAAAGAGCGUGUAGGCGGCCAGGUAGGUCUGCUGUGAAAACUCGAGGCUCAACCUCGAGACGUCGGCGGAAACCAUCUGGCUAGAGUCCGGAAGAGGAGAGUGGAAUUCCUGGUGUAGCGGUGAAAUGCGCAGAUAUCAGGAAGAACACCCGUGGCUAAGGCGGCUCUCUAGUACGUGACUGACGCUGGGACGCGAAAGCGUGGGGAGCGAACAGG
rnacentral:rRNA from 1 species